rnacentral:misc_RNA from 1 species
UUUGAAGAACUUAGGCUGAAACUGGCCUUGUGGUUCAUAUGUAUUCGAAAUGUGCUUUUCUGCCUUGAUUGUAAAAUGUAAAUUGUUAAAAGUUAAAUGCCAGCGGCAUUUCUAUACUGACCCGUACAAGUCAAACUAUAUAUGACUAGCAAAAUGUAAACCAUUAUCAACCAAAAGGCCAGUUUCAGCCUAAGUUCUUCAAA